rfam:Aspergillus lentulus DNA, contig: Alt01, strain: IFM 54703.
AUGUCUCUUGCCUCGCUCGGUCUUCUGCUUCACUCGGUUGAUCUUGAGCUGGAUGCAGCCUGCAUUUUCAUAUGCAUGUCUGUAUGAGACGAGAAUGAGGUUUUGCCCUCGACGAUCUUUGAGUACGGUUUUGUCCGGUAUGCACCACGGAUAUUGAAUCGUAAUUUAUCAGUCGGGACAGUC